rnacentral:rRNA from 1 species
AAAUCAUCAUGCCCCUUAUGACCUGGGCUGCACACGUAAUACAAUGGCUGUGACAGAGAGAACCGAAGAUGUGAAAGUCGGGGGGGAAUCUCUUAAAAGCAGUCUCAGUUCGGAUUGUCUUCUGCAACUCGGAGGCAUGAAGUUGGAAUCGCUAGUAAUCGCAGAUCAGCAUGCUGCGGUGAAUACGUUCUCCGGGUCUU